GCUCGCCUAGCUCAGCUGGUUAGAGCGUGGUACUAAUAUUCUGUAAAGAAUCUAUGGUAUGCCAAGGUCACAGGUUCGAUCCCUGUGGUGAGCA